CACAGACACAUUACUGGGAGUAUUAUUGCUGUGGAGCUCUGUUAUACACUCUGACACAUUACUGGGAGUAUUAUUGCUGUGGAGCUCUGUUAUACACACAGACACAUUACUGGGAGUAUUAUUGCUGUGAAGCUCUGUUAUACACUCAGACACAUUACUGGGAGUGUUAUUGCUGUGGAGCUGUGUUAUACUCUCAGACACACUGACAUUAGGAUAGAAAAGAGGGACCGGGGGAUUUUGGCAUUAAUAGGGACACUUGGGAGGUAUACAGCUAUUUUUAGCGUGAAUUUUGCAAUUUGCUUUUCAGUUCCCUGCAAUAUGAAAUUUAAUGAAUGCAUCCCUAAGUAUUUUUAAAGUUUUCUUCUGUCAUUGAAAUAAAAUUUCGAAAACCUUUAGUUUCACUUUAACCUUAAACUAGCACAAAAGUACCUUUAAAAAGUGCCUUUUAAACUUACGUAUGGGUAAAAACUUGCACAAUAUAAUUAUAUCCAUACAACUUGCGCUGUGUUCUCUUUUCUUCAACUUAUAAGUAUCUCUAUCGCUAAUUUAUGAGGAAUAUUUAGCUGGGGGCGAGUGAUAAGCGCUGGUGCCUUUUUAGAAACAGAAGCAAUGGGGGUUAUGUGUAAAUGUAUUUUUUCCUUUACUAUUUGCACAAGUUUUGUGUGCCACCUCCAUUUUCAUAGAGAUAUAACGGUUGUAUACAUUUGUUAAUUUUGUUAUGUAACCUUUAUUCAUUGGUGACUUUGAUCUCCCUCUUCAGUAACAUGCAAAAAAAAUGGUCUUUCUGGCACUCUCUAUUCAUCAAUUUUUUCCCAGAUGAUUUUACUAUUGCAUUUCAAUAACAUAAUAAGACAAAUUAGUAAUAUUACUAGGGAAAAAAGGCACAUUUGAGAUUUGAAGUAUUUUUUAUUCAUUAUAAAAAAAAAAGUUAGACUGUGAAAUGUGCUUACUUGCUAAGAUAAUCAUAAUUUCUGAGAAUGGCGGUAAUAUUUACUGGGAAAAAAAUGUACAUUGAUAGUCAAACAUUUGUGAACAAAAACCAAUGGAUUAGAGAAAUAAAGCGAUGGAGGAGGCACAGUAAGGAAUAUUUUGGCGAAGGGAAUAAAUAGGCAUACAUAGAAAAAAAGGUCCUAAAACAACAUAAUACAAUUGAGCGUAACACGGUUUAUACACAAACAAUGUUUCGCCUCCUCUAUGCAAUGUGUCUCUGGUUGUGCAAUCAGAACUGGAUUGUGAUGUCAGCUGCUAAAUCUUAAAAUACGUUUAAAAGCAAACAGAGCUCACGUGAAAAAUAUUUAACAGGAACUUUAGGAAAUUUACAAUGUUUUACUUAAUGAUUUAAUUUCUAGAAAAGUGACAGGUCUCAUUUAAUGAGAAUAAAUAGUAUUCUAUGGUUUAUGGCCUCUCCGCACUAGUAUUAUAAUCAUACCUAAUUUAUAAGAAAUACAGUAUGCCGUGUAGUAUUUGAGAAUACCACGUUUCUUGUGACCCUGUACAUAGACUAACGUAGGAUGUUUUCUCUAUAAAAGGCUAGAGUAGAAUUCUAGUAGUAUAAUUAGAUCAUUAUUUUUGCACAGUUAACAAAAGUCACACUAAACAUGUGCUAGAUGUUUGUGGCAGAGCCACGUUUUGUGGUCACGUAUCAUUUCUUCAUGCUGAUGGUCAGCACAUUAAAAUUGGGGUCCAAAAUGUAUGUAGCAAUCAUGUGCUGCAAGAGGAGAAACGCUUAAAGGGACACUGUAGUCACUAUAAGCAUUUCAUCUCUUUGAACUGGUUAUAGUGCCUGGAGUAUAGGUCCCUCCAUUCAGUGUUGCACCAUGUUCGUGCAGUAUGCCACAAGAUAAGAGUCCCUGGCCACCCACAGUCCGGCCCCUUCAGUAUCUGUAGCUAAGGCAGAGAUUACACACUUCCUUGUUGUCAUACCCAUUCAUACCGUCAGUUGGAACUCUGACAGGCUAAAAGCAGUCAGCUGACACCCUCAGCCAAUCACAGCUGCCCAUUGCUGCUCAGGCUAAUACUUCCUUAUUAGCCAAAGCAGCACAGAGGGGAUGGAUUGCAUGGGACUCUUGUUUAGCAUUAAAACAUUAAAACUUUAAAAACUGUUUAAUGCUGAUAGAAAUGAUGGGACCAGAGGACUCCAGACACUAUAACCAGUUUAAUGAGAGUAAGCAGAUACAGUGCCUAUGGUGUCCCUUUAACUAAUCAAGGCAGUUUCAUUGAAAUUCCGUCUAGAUCAGGCUUCUUGAACUCUGUCAUCCUCUGGCCAGUUACUGUUUUCAAAGAAUUCCGGGGGGAGCCAACGUUCCACAUAGUGCAGGGUAGCCCUGUUCCUGUAGUGAUCAUCAGCAUGAACAAUGUAUGUGCCUCUAGAUGAAUAUGGUGGAACUGAUAACCUUGCAAAAGACAAAACUUGCCUCUGCUAAUGGCAGACAAACCUGUGCCAAUGAUCUGUGCUAAUGACAGGUCCACCCAUGCUAAUGACAGAUCUGUGAGCCUGCGCUAAUGACAGACACACCCAAUCUAAAGACAGUUCUAUGUGCCUGUGAUUAUGACAGAUACACCCAUGCUAAUGACAGAUCUAUGUGACUGUGAUUAUGGCUUAGAAAUCACGACACCUUGCACUAUUAGACUAAAUCUUCAAUUUUGCGAACCAUUUGACUACCCUUGCUCUGUCUCUUAGGUCAGGAGAAAUCGAGGUGGAGAAAGUGUGAAAUACUUUCACUACUUAUGAUAUUUUAUAGGAUUGACCAAGGACUGCGCUAGAAAUAAACGGGCAGAUUUUCAUUCAACAUGGGGAGCUUGGAGACAUUAUAACGGAAGCUAAGAUAUGCGUUUUAUAUAGAUAUGUAUAGCAUUAAUGUGCCCAUUUUGUGCCACUACGAUGGUCCAGUAAUGCCACUAAUUGAAAUAAACACUGGGCUGUUGGUUUGUUGCUCACAUUUUAGUUUAAAUAAAGUUUUUUGUUGUCUUAGUAAAUGUAACCCAGAGUCCUGUGCUAGACUGGUGUAUGGUUUGUUAAACAGAGAUAAGAAACUUUUGGCGCUAAAGUUUAUAACUCCCACUAUGCUUAACUGCACGUUCAGUGCGAAACGCGUCUUGAGUUAUGUGGUUGAAGUGAGGGGAGGUUUUGCAUUGAUUAGCCAUGUGGCUAAACUAACACAUUGCUAGUAUAUCCACUUCCAAUGCUUGUUUUUAAUAGCUUUUUGAUUUAUUUUUAUGUUUGAUCUGUGAAAAUAAAUAUAUUUUUAUUGAAAUCGAACCCACGACACCUGAUCUUUUUUCUGCUAUCGGGACGUUAAUGCGAGAUUGUUCUGAACGAAUUGUGAGCCAUUUGGGCUGUACCUGACAGCUACGGUUGUACACACUGAGCGAUGCCACUACGAUAAUAUUCAAGCUUUACACUUACCUAUCUGGGUCCACUAGGAGGUGCUCCAGCUGUAUCGAAGAAUCCCAGAGGAAACAAGUCCGGUGUUUGUAUACAGAGAGUAUUGGUCAUUGUAUGCUAUCAAUGGAG
rnacentral:lncRNA from 1 species